rnacentral:rRNA from 1 species
CUUCUUGGAUGAGUUGCGAACGGGUGAGUAACGCGUAGGUAACCUGCCUUGUAGCGGGGGAUAACUAUUGGAAACGAUAGCUAAUACCGCAUAACAAUGGAUGACACAUGUCAUUUAUUUGAAAGGGGCAAUUGCUCCACUACAAGAUGGACCUGCGUUGUAUUAGCUAGUAGGUGAGGUAAUGGCUCACCUAGGCGACGAUACAUAGCCGACCUGAGAGGGUGAUCGGCCACACUGGGACUGAGACACGGCCCAGACUCCUACGGGAGGCAGCAGUAGGGAAUCUUCGGCAAUGGGGGCAACCCUGACCGAGCAACGCCGCGUGAGUGAAGAAGGUUUUCGGAUCGUAAAGCUCUGUUGUAAGUCAAGAACGGGUGUGAGAGUGGAAAGUUCACACUGUGACGGUAGCUUACCAGAAAGGGACGGCUAACUACGUGCCAGCAGCCGCGGUAAUACGUAGGUCCCGAGCGUUGUCCGGAUUUAUUGGGCGUAAAGCGAGCGCAGGCGGUUUGAUAAGUCUGAAGUUAAAGGCUGUGGCUCAACCAUAGUUCGCUUUGGAAACUGUCAAACUUGAGUGCAGAAGGGGAGAGUGGAAUUCCAUGUGUAGCGGUGAAAUGCGUAGAUAUAUGGAGGAACACCGGUGGCGAAAGCGGCUCUCUGGUCUGUAACUGACGCUGAGGCUCGAAAGCGUGGGGAGCGAACAGGAUUAGAUACCCUGGUAGUCCACGCCGUAAACGAUGAGUGCUAGGUGUUGGAUCCUUUCCGGGAUUCAGUGCCGCAGCUAACGCAUUAAGCACUCCGCCUGGGGAGUACGACCGCAAGGUUGAAACUCAAAGGAAUUGACGGGGGCCCGCACAAGCGGUGGAGCAUGUGGUUUAAUUCGAAGCAACGCGAAGAACCUUACCAGGUCUUGACAUCCCGAUGCUAUUUCUAGAGAUAGAAAGUUACUUCGGUACAUCGGUGACAGGUGGUGCAUGGUUGUCGUCAGCUCGUGUCGUGAGAUGUUGGGUUAAGUCCCGCAACGAGCGCAACCCCUAUUGUUAGUUGCCAUCAUUCAGUUGGGCACUCUAGCGAGACUGCCGGUAAUAAACCGGAGGAAGGUGGGGAUGACGUCAAAUCAUCAUGCCCCUUAUGACCUGGGCUACACACGUGCUACAAUGGUUGGUACAACGAGUUGCGAGUCGGUGACGGCGAGCUAAUCUCUUAAAGCCAAUCUCAGUUCGGAUUGUAGGCUGCAACUCGCCUACAUGAAGUCGGAAUCGCUAGUAAUCGCGGAUCAGCACGCCGCGGUGAAUACGUUCCCGGGCCUUGUACACACCGCCCGUCACACCACGAGAGUUUGUAACACCCGAAGUCGGU